AUUGAACGCUGGCGGCAGGCUUAACACAUGCAAGUCGAGCGGAGAUGAGGUGCUUGCACCUUAUCUUAGCGGCGGACGGGUGAGUAAUGCUUAGGAAUCUGCCAUUUAGUGGGGGACAACAUUCCGAAAGGAAUGCUAAUACCGCAUACGUCCUACGGGAGAAAGCAGGGGAUCUUCGGACCUUGCGCUAAAUGAUGAGCCUAAGUCGGGUUAGCUAGUUGGUGGGGUAAAGGCCUACCAAGGCGACGAUCUGUAGCGGGUCUGAGAGGAUGAUCCGCCACACUGGGACUGAGACACGGCCCAGACUCCUACGGGAGGCAACAGUGGGGAAUAUUGGACAAUGGGGGGAACCCUGAUCCAGCCAUGCCGCGUGUGUGAAGAAGGCCUUAUGGUUGUAAAGCACUUUAAGCGAGGAGGAGGCUACUGAGACUAAUACUCUUGGAUAGUGGACGUUACUCGCAGAAUAAGCACCGGCUAACUCUGUGCCAGCCGCCGCGGUAACAC
rnacentral:rRNA from 1 species